rnacentral:rRNA from 1 species
UACGGGGGGGGCAAGCGUUGUUCGGAAUUACUGGGCGUAAAGGGCUCGUAGGCGGCCAACUAAGUCGGAUGUGAAAUCCCCAAGCUUAACUUGGGAACUGCAUCCGAUACUGGAUGGCUUGAAUCCGGGAGAGGGAUGCAGAAUUCCAGGUGUAGCGGUGAAAUGCGCAGAUAUCGAGGAAGAACACCAAUGGCGAAAGCAGCUCUCUGGGACGGUACUGACGCUGAAGACG